CGCCGGCCACUAUGCCUACUUUUCUAAGGAUUGUCUCUUUAUGAGGCCUGGGUUUACCUGUUUGUUUUUGGUUUAAAUGUCCUUUUGUAGAACUUGAACACACAGCAAAGAGAACACUGUCAUAGACUCCCUGACUGCUAAAUCUUCCCUCCAACAUAAAAUAUCACUCCCCUCGCCUUCUGGGACACCCACAGCUUUCACGUAAAGGUCCAAGGCCGUGGCACGGGACACGCUUAGCGUGACCCACGCCCAGCCCACCAUAUGCCUGCACCUGCACCGAACCCCCACUUGGCCAGUGCUCAAAUGGUCACCGGGAAGUCACUGCGGUCACCGCGGCAACUAGCGAAUGGGGGGGGAGUGCCUGCUGCUUUUGAAAGUGAGCACGGGGGAACUGCUUCCCUGCUAGGCCAGAAUCUCCUCGGAAACUCCACCGUUUGUCCUUGCUGAGCUUCCGUAAUGAACUCUGAUACAGCCCUAGAGGAAUCUUGUUACAUAAUUCGUCUCUCUUUUUUUUUUUUUUUUUUUUUCUUUAAAUAGGUUCUCACUAAGUUGCCCAGGCUGGCCUGGAACUCGAGAGCGAUCCUCCUGCCUCAGCUUCCCCUGUGGUGGGAUGACAGGCGUGCGCCACACCGUCUGCUUUAUAAUUCGGUUUUACUUGCCCUCUCUUUUCCUUUGUGGCAGCCCCCGGACCUGGGGACAGGGAGGGGAGUCCGUGCGUCGCGCGAGGGCCGAGAGGGUGGCCGACAGCACAACAUCCCCUUGCCCCCUCGCGUGAUGGCCAAGCAAAACCCGGGGUCAAGGAGCAGCUUCUUUGGGGUCCUGUUUGUCCCCUCCCCUGGGGCCGGGAAGGCCAAACAGAGGUGGUGCGUGCUUGUUUGUCUAAUAGCGGGGCUGUUGUCACAGUGUCCCAGGGACGUAAGGAAGCUGCCAGCACCCAAAGCGGCGGGGGACACGGGGAACCCGCCAGCCCACAAAGGCCUGGGUGCGCCACGCAGCGCCUCCCCCUCCCCAGUCCCUGGCGUCCCCGAGGGCCAGGGGGGGGACCAGGAGGGGGAGGGCCCAGAGCCCAGGGUCCCAGGCUGCAAAGGGGCCAGGAAGAGGAGCCCCAAAGGACAUCUGUCCCCCCAUCCCUCCAGGCCGUGCAACCUGCGCGUCCCCCAAAACUGGGGGUGGCCAGGGAGG
rnacentral:lncRNA from 1 species